UACGGAGGAUGCAAGCGUUGUCCGGAUUUAUUGGGUUUAAAGGGUGCGUAGGCGGUCUUAUAAGUCAGUGGUUAAAUUACUUUGCUUAACAAGGGACCUGCCAUUGAUACUGUAAGACUUGAAUACUGACUAGGUAGGCGGAAUUGGUAGUGUAGCGGUGAAAUGCUUAGAUAUUACCAGGAACACCGAUAGCGAAGGCAGCUUACUGGACAGAGAUUGACGCUGAGGCACGAAAGUGCGGGUAUCAAACAGG
rnacentral:rRNA from 1 species